AAAAACGAUGCGAUAGUAGUGUGAAUUGCAGAAUUCAGUGAAUCAUCGAAUCUUUGAACGCACAUUGCGCCCCUUGGUAUUCCAUGGGGCAUGCCUGUUCGAGCGUCAUUUGUACCCUCAAGCUUUGCUUGGUGUUGGGCGUUUGUCUCGCGUUGCGCGUAGACUCGCCUUAAAGCGAUUGGCAGCCGGCAUAUUGGCCUUGGAGCGCAGCACAUUUUGCGAAUCCAGUCAUUUAUGUUGGCGUCCAUUAAGCCUAUACAUUUUGCUCUUGACCUCGGAUCAGGUAGGGAUACCCGCUGAACUUAAGCAUAUCAAUAAGCGGAGGAA
rnacentral:rRNA from 1 species